rnacentral:lncRNA from 1 species
GCGGUGACAAUUUCCGGCACGGUGGAUACAAUUUCCGGCGCGGUGGUUAUUUGCAAAAUAUUCCGAUCUUAAUUAUUCUUUGUGGGUUUUGUAGAGGAGAAGGAGGAGAGUUUUUUUAUAGUGAUGAUUUUUCAAAAAGUGGUGUUUGAUGAUCGAUCUCUAGAUCUAAAAAAAUGAUAACCACCACUCUUAGAAAAAAAAAACAUAAGAGAAAGAUUAUGAAGAAUAACGUUUAACAUGGUGAUAAAGAUGAGAUUUGAGGGUAACAAAACCAAGUUGGAGGGAUUUAAGGGUUGCCGGCGGCUAGGGUUUGUUUGUAGGAGAGAGCUUUACAAAANNNNN